CGUGAGAGUGUCGGCCCAGAGACAGAGAGAGGGAGAGAGCAAAACAGCACAUGGUUCUAAGCUGUCGCCGUUUAUCUCAAAUACGAGCAUUGCCGCCGCCGCGUAUCCGUGUAUUUGUGUAUCUGUGAGUCUGCCCUUAGCUCUGUGUUUGCGUUCUCUCUCUCUCUCUCUCUUCGCCUUGGCGGCAUCGCCAUCAGGCAGCAGCGGUAGCGGCAGUGGCAGCGGCAGCGGCGUGUUUCUACACUUUGCAAUGAGCGCGUGUGCCAGUCAGAGUUAGUUGAACAUUCAGCGCCGUCUAAAGGCAAAUUAAUUACAAUUACAACUCAACAAACAAAAAAUAUCAAAAAAUUGUUAAAAUUCAAAAUUGAAGCCACAAAGCGUGCCGUGCCCCACAAAUAAAAUUGAAGGAACAUUUUAUAUUCUCCGCCAAGAAUAAAAGCUUAUCCGCCAACAAAAAGCACGUGUGAGCUGUAAAAGUAAGGAAAACCAAAGUAAAACACAAAUGCCGCCGCUAAAAAAAUAACAGCAACAUCAUUCAAGCAGCAGAGCAGCAGCGUUAAACGUUUUUCGAAACUGAAAAUUGUCAACAA